rnacentral:ncRNA from 14 species
GGUCAUGAGUGCCAGCAACGAGCCCCGGCUAGCUGGCCGGCAACCCUCCACCGCGGUGGGGUGCCCCGGGUGAUGACCUGGUUUCCUGAUUCACACAACAGUCGGGUGACAAGCGCGGGUC